GAGCCAAGAAUGAGACUGAUGAUGCAUCGAUGAGAAACCAGGUCCUUUUCCUAAUACUUCUAUAGAGGGUGACUCCAUAGCCCUCAUUUGCCCCCCCAGCUGCUACUCAAAAACCCAAUAAAACUGCAUUUGCUCCGGCUAGGUACCACGAUCGGCUUCUCCCAGCAACCUGACGAAAAUUCUCCCUUUCAACUGACUCCAAUUCCUUGGCCACCCACAGCCAC
rnacentral:lncRNA from 1 species